AGUGAACGCUGGCGGUAGGCCUAACACAUGCAAGUCGAACGGCAGCACAGGAGAGCUUGUUCUCUGGGUGGCGAGUGGCGGACGGGUGAGGAAUACAUCGGAAUCUACUCUGUCGUGGGGGAUAACGUAGGGAAACUUACGCUAAUACCGCAUACGACCUACGGGUGAAAGCAGGGGCUCUUCGGACCUUGCGCGAUUGAAUGAGCCGAUGUCGGAUUAGCUAGUUGGCGGGGUAAAGGCCCACCAAGGCGACGAUCCGUAGCUGGUCUGAGAGGAUGAUCAGCCACACUGGAACUGAGACACGGUCCAGACUCCUACGGGAGGCAGCAGUGGGGAAUAUUGGACAAUGGGCGCAAGCCUGAUCCAGCCAUACCGCGUGGGUGAAGAAGGCCUUCGGGUUGUAAAGCCCUUUUGUUGGGAAAGAAAUCCAGCUGGCUAAUACCCGGUUGGGAUGACGGUACCCAAAGAAUAAGCACCGGCUAACUUCGUGCCAGCCGCCGCCGUAA
rnacentral:rRNA from 1 species